rnacentral:rRNA from 1 species
AUUAUGGAGAGUUUGAUCCUGGCUCAGAGUGAACGCUGGCGGCGUGCCUAAUACAUGCAAGUCGAACGAUGAAGCUUUUAGCUUGCUAGAAGUGGAUUAGUGGCGCACGGGUGAGUAAGGUAUAGUUAAUCUGCCCUACACAAGAGGACAACAGUUGGAAACGACUGCUAAUACUCUAUACUCCUGCU